GGAGAGGACGAUACUGGCUCCAGAUUUCAACGCUUUCACAGUCUUGAAAAUUGUGUCAAAGUAGAGAGAGAGCAAGUGGGAAAGAAACAACACGUAAAUGUCAAAUCCUGCAUCUCCAGCCCAGGUCUACGCCAUUUGAGAGAAAAAGGCGAAGAGUGGAGGAGCAGUUGAAAAAGAGUGGUAAAGGUGUAAACAAAGUUUUGGAGCUUUUCGCUACUCCAAGUCAAUUUGGUGUCUGAAUCGAGAAAAAAGGGAGAUACUCUAUAAAGCAAAAACCAACGUACAAAUCAAAGGGAGGGAGGGGCUUACGUUACGUAGGUUCCAUCUGUUUAUUUGUAUAAAAUUUUCGUUUCUCUUGUGUUGACACGCCCACGGUCUUCUUGCUCCCAUCCCCAUUAACCCAUCAAAAAGAUAUGUAUCUUUCCUCGUUUUAAUUAAAAUGAUUGUACUAA